rnacentral:rRNA from 1 species
GUAGCGAAAGACGGGUGAGAAUCCCGUCCACCGAUUGACUAAGGUUUCCAGAGGAAGGCUCGUCCGCUCUGGGUUAGUCGGGUCCUAAGCUGAGGCCGACAGGCGUAGGCGAUGGAUAACAGGUUGAUAUUCCUGUACCACCUAGUAUCGUUUUAAUCGAUGGGGGGACGCAGUAGGAUAGGCGAAGCGUGCUGUUGGAGUGCACGUCCAAGCAGUAAGGCUGAGUGUUAGGCAAAUCCGGCACUCGUUAGGCUGAGCUGUGAUGGGGAGAGGAAAUUGUUUCCUCGAGUCGUUGAUUUCACACUGCCGAGAAAAGCCUCUAGAUAGAUAACAGGUGCCCGUACCGCAAACCGACACAGGUAGUCAAGAUGAGAAUUCUAAGGUGAGCGAGCGAACUCUCGUUAAGGAACUCGGCAAAAUGACCCCGUAACUUCGGGAGAAGGGGUGCUCUUUAGGGUUCACGCCCAGAAGAGCCGCAGUGAAUAGGCCCAAGCGACUGUUUAUCAAAAACACAGGUCUCUGCUAAACCGUAAGGUGAUGUAUAGGGGCUGACGCCUGCCCGGUGCUGGAAGGUUAAGAGGAGUGGUUAGCUUCUGCGAAGCCACGAAUCGAAGCCCCAGUAAACGGCGGCCGUAACUAUAACGGUCCUAAGGUAGCGAAAUUCCUUGUCGGGUAAGUUCCGACCCGCACGAAAGGCGUAACGAUUUGGGCACUGUCUCAACGAGAGACUCGGUGAAAUCAUAGUACCUGUGAAGAUGCAGGUUACCCGCGACAGGACGGAAAGACCCCGUGGAGCUUUACUGUAGCCUGAUAUUGAAAUUCGGCACAGCUUGUACAGGAUAGGUAGGAGCCAUUGAAACGUGAGCGCUAGCUUACGUGGAGGCGUUGGUGGGAUACUACCCUAGCUGUGUUGGCUUUCUAACCCGCACCACUUAUCGUGGUGGGAGACAGUGUCAGGCGGGCAGUUUGACUGGGGCGGUCGCCUCCUAAAAGGUAACGGAGGCGCUCAAAGGUUCCCUCAGAAUGGUUGGAAAUCAUUCACAGAGUGUAAAGGCAUAAGGGAGCUUGACUGCGAGACCUACAAGUCGAGCAGGGUCGAAAGACGGACUUAGUGAUCCGGUGGUUCCGCAUGGAAGGGCCAUCGCUCAACGGAUAAAAGCUACCCCGGGGAUAACAGGCUUAUCUCCCCCAAGAGUUCACAUCGACGGGGAGGUUUGGCACCUCGAUGUCGGCUCAUCGCAUCCUGGGGCUGUAGUCGGUCCCAAGGGUUGGGCUGUUCGCCCAUUAAAGCGGUACGCGAGCUGGGUUCAGAACGUCGUGAGACAGUUCGGUCCCUAUCCGUCGUGGGCGUAGGAAAUUUGAGAGGAGCUGUCCUUAGUACGAGAGGACCGGGAUGGACAUACCUCUGGUGUACCAGUUGUCGUGCCAACGGCAUAGCUGGGUAGCUAUGUAUGGACGGGAUAAGUGCUGAAAGCAUCUAAGCAUGAAGCCCCCCUCAAGAUGAGAUUUCCCAACUUCGGUUAUAAGAUCCCUCGAAGAUGACGAGGUUAAUAGGUUCGAGGUGGAAGCGUGGCGACACGUGGAGCUGACGAAUACUAAUCGAUCGAAGACUUAAUCAAU